rnacentral:rRNA from 1 species
AGGGUUUGAUUCUGGCUCAGAUUGAACGCUGGCGGCAGGCCUAACACAUGCAAGUCGAGCGGAUGACAGGAGCUUGCUCCUGAAUUCAGCGGCGGACGGGUGAGUAAUGCCUAGGAAUCUGCCUGGUAGUGGGGGACAACGUUUCGAAAGGAACGCUAAUACCGCAUACGUCCUACGGGAGAAAGCAGGGGACCUUCGGGCCUUGCGCUAUCAGAUGAGCCUAGGUCGGAUUAGCUAGUUGGUGAGGUAAUGGCUCACCAAGGCGACGAUCCGUAACUGGUCUGAGAGGAUGAUCAGUCACACUGGAACUGAGACACGGUCCAGACUCCUACGGGAGGCAGCAGUGGGGAAUAUUGGACAAUGGGCGAAAGCCUGAUCCAGCCAUGCCGCGUGUGUGAAGAAGGUCUUCGGAUUGUAAAGCACUUUAAGUUGGGAGGAAGGGCAUUAACCUAAUACGUUAGUGUUUUGACGUUACCGACAGAAUAAGCACCGGCUAACUCUGUGCCAGCAGCCGCGGUAAUACAGAGGGUGCAAGCGUUAAUCGGAAUUACUGGGCGUAAAGCGCGCGUAGGUGGUUUGUUAAGUUGGAUGUGAAAGCCCCGGGCUCAACCUGGGAACUGCAUUCAAAACUGACAAGCUAGAGUAUGGUAGAGGGUGGUGGAAUUUCCUGUGUAGCGGUGAAAUGCGUAGAUAUAGGAAGGAACACCAGUGGCGAAGGCGACCACCUGGACUGAUACUGACACUGAGGUGCGAAAGCGUGGGGAGCAAACAGGAUUAGAUACCCUGGUAGUCCACGCCGUAAACGAUGUCAACUAGCCGUUGGGAGCCUUGAGCUCUUAGUGGCGCAGCUAACGCAUUAAGUUGACCGCCUGGGGAGUACGGCCGCAAGGCUAAAACUCAAAUGAAUUGACGGGGGCCCGCACAAGCGGUGGAGCAUGUGGUUUAAUUCG